UAAUGUUCGUCUACUCGUUAUUGCAUUAUUUCAUAAACCUCGAUUCGCUUCGUUAUUAUGUUAUUUUCUGGCGGGUCGAGCCCAAUUUUAUUUCCGUCUGCCGUUGUUCUCGCGUAACCCCCUAUGCGUCCUUCUCGAAAUCGAUCACGUGACCUUUUGCGUAGCAAAAUGCAGAGUGUCGGCGUCUAAAUACGGAGUCGCGAGUUAUUGCGACGAAACGUUUUGCAUUGCGAAAUUCAUAACGGAAUAAUAUUUAUGAAAAUGAAGCGAACUUUAUCCCGACCGAUAACGAAAUUACUGGUUUCCGUGGUGUAGUGGUUAUCACAUCCGCCUAACACGCGGAAGGUCCCCGGUUCGAUCCCGGGCGGAAACAUUUUUUGCUUUCGCCAAAUUCAUCGAUGCAAGAUUAUGAGGUGGGAAGAUUAAGUUACAAAUACCCGUGGGCGCGGUGGGCAUCGAAAUCAGGAACUCCAGCAUCAAGACAAUACCAACGGACGCGUUCUCCGCGUAC
rnacentral:tRNA from 1 species